rnacentral:rRNA from 1 species
CGCGUAGGCGGUGCGGUAAGUCACCUGUGAAAUCUCCCGGCUCAACUGGGAGCCUGCAGGCGAAACUACCGUGCUGGAGUGUGGGAGGGGUGCGUGGAAUUCCCGGUGUAGCAGUGAAAUGCGUAGAUAUCGGGAGGAACACCUGUGGCGAAAGCGGCGCACUGGACCACAACUGACGCUGAGGCGCGAAAGCUAGGGGAGCAAACAGGAUUAGAUACCCUGGUAGUCCUAGCCCUAAACGAUGAUUGCUUGGUGUAGCCGGUACCCAAUCCGGCUGUGCCGCAGCUAACGCGAUAAGCAAUCCGCCUGGGGAGUACGGUCGCAAGGCUGAA